GACGAACGCUGGCGGCGUGCCUAAUACAUGCAAGUAGGACGCAGUUGCGAACGGGUGAGUAACGCGUAGGUAACUACUUCUUCGAGGGGGAUAACUAUUGGAAACGAUAGCUAAUCCCGCAUACUAGUAGAUGUACCUGCGUUGUAUUAGCUAGUAGGUAGGGUAAUGGGUUACCUAGGCAACGCUACAUCGCCGACCUGGGAGGGUGAUCGGCCAACAUGGGACUGGGACACGGCCCAGACUCCUACGGGAGGGAGCAGUAGGGAAACUUCGGCAAAUGGGGGAACCCUGACUGAGCAACGCCGCGGGAGUGAAGAAGGUUUUCGGAUCGUAAAGCUCUGUUGUUAAGGAAGCGGUACUUAACCAGAAAGGGACGGCUAACUACGUGCCAGCAGCCGCGGUAAUUC
rnacentral:rRNA from 1 species